GUGAAUCAUCAAAUCUUUGAACGCAAAUUGCACUCCCUGGUAUUCCGGGGAGUAUGCCUGUUUGAGGGUCGUUAGAAUAAAAAAUCGAUGCGUCGCUCUUUUUUUUUAAGGGUGAUCGCGUUGGAAUUGAGCCUUCUUUCAAUUUUUAAUUCAUGUCAAAGUGGCUUGAAUUUCAUCCAUCCGGUCCGAUUGAACCGUAUUUAAGAUCAAUUUUGUUUGAGACCCCGCGUUGACUUCCCA
rnacentral:misc_RNA from 1 species